CAGUCGCCGCGGUAAUACGUAGGUGGCAAGCGUUGUCCGGAAUUAUAGGGCGUAAAGGGUGCGUAGGCGGUUUGGCAAGUCUUGUGUGAAAUCUAUGGGCUCAACCCAUAGCCUGCACGAGAAACUACCGGGCUUGAGUGAUGGAGAGGUGAGUGGAAUUUCCGGUGUAGCGGUGAAAUGCGUAGAUAUCGGAAGGAACACCUGUGGCGAAAGCGGCUCACUGGACAUUAACUGACGCUGAUGCACGAAAGCUAGGGGAGCAAACAGGAUUAGAUACCCCCGUAGUCCCUGUCUCUUAUAC
rnacentral:rRNA from 1 species